rnacentral:lncRNA from 1 species
CCACAGUGAAGCUGGAGGACCCUGAAAGAUGAGAAACAGGCUUCUGGCAGGGUGUGGGUGCUCUGAGGUGAGGCAGCUUCGGGCCUCUGCAGGCUUCCUCUAGCUGGGCUUGCCUGAUGUCUCAUUCAAAAUGAAUUCGAAGCAAGGACUCCUCCCAAAAAUAAUGUCAGUGCAGGAAAUACUGUAGAUCAUCUUAUAUACGUAAGUUGAGUUUUAUUAGAUGCUUUGAAAGGUACUCUGUGGUGAGGUCAGGUGAAAAAGGGAAAUGAAGGGAAGAAUGGUUUAUCCAAUGCAGUUUGCUUCUUUAAUAAAUUUUUUCUGUAUGUAGCAUUCUUCAGCAAACUUGGCACUAUCUAUGAUCAUAGAAAGCAAUAUUUUGAUUCAAAAAAGGUACAUUGUUUUUCUUUUUUAAUAUUUUUUUAAUUGUAGAUGGACAUGAUACCUUUAUUUUAUUUAUUUAUUUAUUUGUUUUUGUGUGGUGCCGGGAUCGAACCCAAUGCCUCACUCAUAGCUAGGCAAGGGCUUUACCAGUGAGCCACAUCCCUGGCCCUGUUUUUCCUAUUCUAAAAUUGUUUUACCAAAAAAUAAAAUGUUUUAAAAAAUAUAUAAUAAAAUAAUUUUCUCAUUUGGGAAAAGUCACUGAAAUCUUCAGCCAUGCAUGGUGCCCUACACCUAUAAUCCCAGCAAGGCUGAGACAGGAGGCCAGCCUACACAACUUAAUGAGAUCCUGUUUUGAAAAGGGCUGGGCAUGUAAUUGGUGGUAGAGCACUCUGGGUUCAAUUCCUAGUACCACAAAAAUAAAUCUUCAAAUGAAACUGAAUUAAUCAGCAUUUUUAUUGCCCUGAUGUGAGGAAGAGUUCAUACCUUUGCACAGCUAGGAAUACCUUUGAAGUAUCUGUUUGAUUCCUUCAGUUGUGAAGGGUGAUUGCUAUUACUGGGCACAUCCUUGUCCUUUUUUUCUUUAUUUUUUGUAGUGCUGGCAAUCACAUCUAGGGCCUCAUGCGUGCUAGACAAACGCUUUACCACUGAGCUAAAUCCCAGGCCUCUAAAGUUGGUUUACAAUAUUCCCAGAAGUACUUAUAAUCAUUGAUUUUCUAAUUAAAUGACUAUUCUUUGGAAUAGCAAAGAAAUUAAGAUAUAAUCAAAAUCCUAAAAUAUUCCCAUUUUUAUGUUAAUAUUUGAUGUAACUUGAAAGCUUAAGUACAAGAUAACAAAAUGUUUUUUGUUUUUUAGCUUUUCUUUUUUUCUGUUUAAGACUGUAUUUAUCAUCUCUUGCUGUAACAGUCAUUUUUACAUGCCAAUUGAUAGUCCAGUGCACAGCUUAACACAGCUCCUGUCCUCAUUACUUAUGGCCUGUUCCCUUUUUUUUGCAUCUGUCCCAGUACUUUGCUGUGAGGAUUUUCAUGCUGUCCAGAGAGCAUGAGAUUUGCGCCCAUCUGGAUUGGUUAAGUAUGAAGGUGCUAUUCAUUUUCAGUCAGGUACCAUUUGUCUUUCUGACAAAUGCUGAUUUUUUUAAAAAAGUUCUUGCUCUAAAACUGAUAUCUGAAGCACUGUAGAUUCAAGGAGAAGAUAGUGUGGUAAGUGGAGGGGAAAAUAUAGACUUCCUCUGGGAAAAUUACAAGAGAAGUGAGUAGUGACUUCAGUUGUACCUUGCAGGCAGAUAGUAAAUGAAAUAACAAUGCCAAGCAUAUUAUAGAUGCUUGGUGUUAAAAAUCACCAUUGGUGCUUUGAGGUCGAUCAAGCGUUUUUUAUGUAUGAUUUUGGUUCUAGUAAUGAAUAAUGGCAGUUGAGAAGACUAUGGAGCCAUUCCUGGAACUUAAUGAGAUUGGGAAGAUGGGUAUUAUCCCCUCUGAGCAAAGCCUCAGAAAAGUCUAGCAGCUUGUACAAGGGCUUCCAAUGAUAGCAAAACCAUCUGUUCCCUACUCUGUUGUCCUGCUGUCUUACUGUCUCAUUUGCCAUUUGGUGCUGUCCUUGUUCAGUACAAUAACCAGCCAGUUCCAUCUGAAACUGACUUAAUGCAGAACACGUUUUCACUUGAAUAGGAUUCAUCCCCCUGCUUGGCUUUCUGAGGCAGAGCAAGAUCUUGACCCCUAUGAAGAAUUCUGUGAUAAAAAGAUGAUUUUAUUUUGCUCAGUGUUUGUAAAACAGCCCUCUACUUUUGCCUUGUUUUGCAUUCCACAAAUCAGUAAAUUCCAGGUAGCCCUCAAAACAAGGAUUAUCCAGAGAUCCAGCACUCUGUUUGCCCAACUCAGUGCUAGCUUGAGAUGUCUUCCUGGAGUUUGCCUUAUAUCUGUUGCUGCAAGUCUUGGUAUGAUUUACAUAUGAGGUGUCCCCCAGAAUGUGUGAGAAAAAUGCAGCAUGUUCAGAGGUGAAAUGAUUAGAUUAUAAGAGUUAUACAUAGAUUAAUUAAGUGGUAACAGUAAGCAAGUAGGGUAUGGACAAGGAAGUAGGUCAAUGGGGCAUAGCUUUGGGGUUUGAAUAUUGUCCAUGGUGAGCUGAGUUCUCUCUGCCAAGUUCUGAGCUGCCAUGACCUUGAGCCAGAAUGUUCUCCUUUAUGUUGACCCCAGAGCUGUGGAGUUGUCCCCCAUGCACUGACCCUCUGAAACUGAGCCGAAAUAAACUUUACCUCGUCUAAUUGUUCUUGUCAGGUCUUUUGGUCACAAUGAUACAAAGCUAACUAAAACAAGUCUGUGUACCAGAGUGGAAGGAAAACGGUGUAAUCAUGUGCCAAGACACUUGCUCAGGAUUGAAAUAGAAUGUGCUCCAGACUCUAAGUCAUUGCUUUGUUGGCAAAUAUUUACUUUCUGUGAACAAGUCCCUAUGACGUUCACAAAC